rnacentral:rRNA from 1 species
UACGUAGGCAGCAAGCGUUGUUCGGAGUUACUGGGCGUAAAGGGUGCGUAGGCGGUCCUGUAAGUAUGGUGUGAAAUCUCCCGGCUUAACUGGGAGGGUGCGCUAUAGACUGCGGGACUAGAGGGUGGGAGAGGAAAGUGGAAUUCCUGGUGUAGCGGUGAAAUGCGUAGAUAUCAGGAGGAACACCGGUGGUGUAAACGGCUUUCUGGACCAUUUCUGACGCUGAGGCACGAAAGCGUGGGUAGCAAACAGG